rnacentral:rRNA from 1 species
CACGUAGGGUGCGAGCGUUGUCCGGAAUUAUUGGGCGUAAAGAGCUCGUAGGCGGUGUGUCGCGUCGGCCGUGAAAACCUGCAGCUUAACUGUGGGCUUGCAGCCGAUACGGGCGGGCUGGGAUUCGGUAGGGGAGACUGGAAUUCCUGGUGUAGCGGUGAAAUGCGCAGAUAUCAGGAGGAACACCGGUGGCUAAGGCGGGUCUCUGGGCCGAUAUCGACGCUGAGGAGCGAAAGCGUGGGGAGCGAACAGG